rnacentral:rRNA from 1 species
UACGAAGGGGGCGAGCGUUGUUCGGAGUUACUGGGCGUAAAGGGCGCGUAGGCGGCGAUCUAAGUUAGGCGUGAAAGCCCCGGGCUUAACCUGGGAAUUGCGCUUAAGACUGGACUGCUUGAGUGCGGGAGAGGUGAGUGGAAUUCCCAGUGUAGAGGUGAAAUUCGUAGAUAUUGGGAAGAACACCAGUGGCGAAGGCGGCUCACUGGCCCGCAACUGACGCUGAGGCGCGAAAGCGUGGGGAGCAAACAGG